rnacentral:rRNA from 1 species
CCUACGGGAGGCAGCAGUGGGGAAUAUUGCACAAUGGGGGAAACCCUGAUGCAGCGACGCCGCGUGAGUGAAGAAGUAUUUCGGUAUGUAAAGCUCUAUCAGCAGGGAAGAAGAAAGACGGUACCUGACUAAGAAGCCCCGGCUAACUACGUGCCAGCAGCCGCGGUAAUACGUAGGGGGCAAGCGUUAUCCGGAUUUACUGGUGGUAACGGGCGGGUAGACGGCUGUGCAAGUCUGAAGUGAAAGCCCAGGGCUCAACCCUGGGACUGCUUUGGAAACUGUGGAGCUAGAGUGCUGGAGAGGUAAGUGGAAUUCCUAGUGUAGCGGUGAAAUGCGUAGAUAUUAGGAGGAACACCAGUGGCGAAGGCGGCUUACUGGACAGUAACUGACGUUGAGGCUCGAAAGCGUGGGGAGCAAACAGGAUUAGAUACCCUAGUAGUC